GGCUUAACACAUGCAAGUCGAACGCCCCGCAAGGGGAGUGGCAGACGGGUGAGUAACGCGUGGGAAUCUACCCAGUUCUACGGAACAACUGAGGGAAACUUCAGCUAAUACCGUAUACGCCCUACGGGGGAAAGAUUUAUCGGAAUUGGAUGAGCCCGCGUUGGAUUAGCUAGUUGGUGAGGUAACGGCUCACCAAGGCGACGAUCCAUAGCUGGUCUGAGAGGAUGAUCAGCCACACUGGAACUGAGACACGGUCCAGACUCCUACGGGAGGCAGCAGUGGGGAAUAUUGGACAAUGGGCGCAAGCCUGAUCCAGCAAUGCCGCGUGUGUGAAGAAGGCCUUCGGGUUGUAAAGCAC
rnacentral:rRNA from 1 species